rnacentral:tRNA from 1 species
GCCUUCGUGGUGUAGUGGUUCUGCACACUGGGCUGGCAUUUCAGAGGUCUUUGGUUCGAUUCCCGGCGAAGGCG